rnacentral:rRNA from 1 species
GACGAACGCUGGCGGCGUGCUUAACACAUGCAAGUCGAACGGAAAGGCCCUGCUUUUGUGGGGUGCUCGAGUGGCGAACGGGUGAGUAACACGUGAGUAACCUGCCCUUGACUUUGGGAUAACUUCAGGAAACUGGGGCUAAUACCGGAUAGGAGCUCCUGCUGCUUGGUGGGGUUUGGAAAGUUUCGGCGGUUGGGGAUGUACUCGCGGCUUAUCAGCUUGUUGGUGGGGUAGUGGCUUACCAAGGGUUUGACGGGUAGCCGGCAUGAGAGGGUGACCGGCGAAAAUGGGACUGAGAGACGGACCAGACUGCAACGGGAGGCAGGAGUGGGGAAUAGUGCACAAUGGGAGGAAGCCUGAGGAAGAAACGCCGCGGGGGGGAUGAAGGCCUUGGGGUUGUAAACAGAUUUAGCAUGUGACGAAGAGUGAGUGACGGUAAUGGGUAAAGAAGCACCGGCUAACUACGUG